rnacentral:rRNA from 1 species
GACGAACGCUGGCGGCGUGCUUAACACAUGCCAGUCGAACGGUGAAGCGCCUUCCUUUUUGGUGGGUGUGGAUGAGUGGCGAACGGGUGAGUAACACGUGAGUAACCUGCCCCCUUCUUCUGGAUAACCGCAUGAAAGUGUGGCUAAUACGGGAUAUUCUGGGUCUGUCGCAUGAUGGGUCUGGGAAAGAUAUUGUUUCGGUGGGGGAUGGGCUCGCGGCCUAUCAGCUUGUUGGUGGGGUGAUGGCCUACCAAGGCGGUGACGGGUAGCCGGCCUGAGAGGGUGGACGGUCACACUGGGACUGAGACACGGCCCAGACUCCUACGGGAGGCAGCAGUGGGGAAUAUUGCACAAUGGGCGCGAGCCUGAUGCAGCGACGCCGCGUGAGGGAUGGAGGCCUUCGGGUUGUGAACCUCUUUCGCCAGUGAAGCAGGCCUGCCUCGUUUGUGGGUGGGUUGACGGUAGCUGGAUAAGAAGCGCCGGCUAACUACGUG